UACGAAGGGGGCUAGCGUUGUUCGGAAUGACUGGGCGUAAAGGGCGCGUAGGCGGCGAUGUAAGUCAGGCGUGAAAGCCCGAGGCUCAACCUCGGAACUGCCUUCGAUACUGCGGGUCUCGAGUCCGGGAGAGGUGAGUGGAAUUCCUAGUGUAGAGGUGAAAUUCGUAGAUAUUCGGAAGAACACCAGUGGCGAAGGCGACUUACUGGACACAUAUUGACGCUGAGGUGCGAAAGCGUGGGGAGCAAACAGG
rnacentral:rRNA from 1 species